GAUGAACGCUAGCUACAGGCUUAACACAUGCAAGUCGAGGGGAAACGAUAUUGGAAGCUUGCUUCCGAUAGGCGUCGACCGGCGCACGGGUGAGUAACGCGUAUCCAACCUGCCCACCACUUGGGGAUAACCUUGCGAAAGUAAGACUAAUACCCAAUGAUAUCUCUAGAAGACAUCUGAAGGAGAUUAAAGAUUUAUCGGUGAUGGAUGGGGAUGCGUCUGAUUAGCUUGUUGGCGGGGUAACGGCCCACCAAGGCGACGAUCAGUAGGGGUUCUGAGAGGAAGGUCCCCCACAUUGGAACUGAGGUACGGUGCAAACUCCUACGGGAGGCAGCAGUGAGGAAUAUUGGUCUAUGGGCGGGAGCCUGAACCAGCCAAGUAGCGUGCAGGAUGACGGCCCUAUGGGUUGUAAACUGCUUUUAUAAGGGAAUAAAGUGAGCCUCGUGAGGCUUUUUGCAUGUACCUUAUGAAUAAGGACCGGCUAAUUCCGUGCCAGCCGCCGCAGUAA
rnacentral:rRNA from 1 species